rnacentral:misc_RNA from 1 species
GAUGAAGAACGUAGCGAAAUGCGAUACUUGGUGUGAAUUGCAGAAUCCCGUGAACCAUCGAGUCUUUGAACGCAAGUUGCGCCCGAAGCCAUUAGGCCGAGGGCACGCCUGCCUGGGCGUCACACGUCGUUGCCCCCCCAUCUACUCCUUCGGGAUUGCGGGGGGCGGAUGAUGGACUCUCGUGCGCCUCGUCGCGCGGUUGGCCUAAAUGCCAAGUCCUCGGCGACGCACGCCACGACAAUCGGUGGUUGCGAAACCUCGGUUGCCUGUCGUGUGCGGUCGUCGCGCAUCGAGGGCUCGAAAAAAUUGCCGGGCUUCGGCUCGACUUUCAACGCGACCCCAGGUCAGGCGGGGUUACCCGCUGAGUUUAAGCAUAUCAAUAAGCGGAGGA